GACGGAGGAUGCAAGCGUUAUCCGGAAUGAUUGGGCGUAAAGCGUCCGCAGGUGGCAGUUCAAGUCUGCUGUCAAAGACCGGGGCUUAACUUCGGAAAGGCAGUGGAAACUGAACAGCUAGAGUAUGGUAGGGGCAGAGGGAAUUCCUGGUGUAGCGGUGAAAUGCGUAGAGAUCAGGAAGAACACCAAUGGCGAAGGCAGCUCGCUGGGACGUGACUGACGCUGAGACGCGAAAGCGUGGGGAGCAAACAGG
rnacentral:rRNA from 1 species